CAAAAUGGAGGAAGUGAAAGAGAAAGUGAACGAGACUACGACCAAAAGGGAAAAGCAGCAUUCACAGAACUCCCUUUCAGUCAUUGCAAAGUUCUCUCAAUUGAGAUGAGAAAAUAUACAAUAAAAUUGUUGGCCGUGCUUAGUUCCCAGAGGAGCUGGGAGUACUGGUGACCAGGGGCCAUAAUGAGUCCAGUGGGGACCAGUGUUCACUGGUAUGAAUGGUUCUGGGACUUACCUGACUGCACCCGGGAGCUGUGGUUGCCGGUGGACACUGGUUGGCAGUAGAGGAUCACUAUGCAGAGCAGGAGGAGGCCCCAGUGUACUGACCACGCCAUCUCACAGCUUAUAACCUUCAUCCGGUCAGCCAAGCAACCACAGAGACAUAUGUUGUUAGUGAGAAGAUAUGACACAGCUAUCGCACAGUAAUGGGGUCUGAAAACUCUGUUUGAAGUUAGAACAUUCAGUAUGAGAUCAAAACACAAACUGUGCUUAGCCUACUCCAAAUAUUUGAUUUCUUAAAAAAUAAAAAUAGUAUCUACA